GACGGAGGAUGCAAGCGUUAUCCGGAAUGAUUGGGCGUAAAGCGUCCGCAGGUGGCAGUUCAAGUCUGCUGUCAAAGACCGGGGCUUAACUUCGGAAAGGCAGUGGAAACUGAACAGCUAGAGUAUGGUAGGGGCAGAGGGAAUUCCUGGUGUAGCGGUGAAAUGCGUAGAGAUCAGGAAGAACAUCGGUGGCGAAGGCGCUCUGCUGGGCUGUUGCUGACGCUGAGGCGCGACAGCGUGGGGAGCAAACAGG
rnacentral:rRNA from 1 species